rfam:Frigoribacterium sp. Leaf172 contig_2, whole genome shotgun sequence.
UCUGAGUCGUCGGCCCCGACUCCCAGCCGUCCGCCCUGGCGCACCUUCCCCGGUGCCAGGUCGGGACGGAUGGGGAUCAGGGCAGAUGAACAGGAGCCG